GAAACGACUGCUAAGACUGGAUAGGAGACAAGAAGGCAUCUUCUUGUUUUUAAAAGACCUAGCAAUAGGUAUGCUUAGGGAGGAGCUUGCGUCACAUUAGUUAGUUGGUGGGGUAAAGGCCCACCAAGACUAUGAUGUGUAGCCGGGCUGAGAGGUUGAACGGCCACAUUGGGACUGAGACACGGCCGAAACUCCUACGGGAGGCAGCAGUAGGGAAUUUUCGGCAAUGGAGGAAACUCUGACCGAGCAACGCCGCGUGAACGAUGAAGUAUUUCGGUACGUAAAGUUCUUUUAUUAGGGAAGAAUAAAUGAUGGAAAAAUCAUUCUGACGGUACCUAAUGAAUAAGCCCCGGCUAACUAUGUGCCAGCAGCCGCGGUAAUACAUAGGGGGCAAGCGUUAUCCGGAAUUAUUGGGCGUAAAGGGUGCGUAGGCGGUUAAAUAAGUUUAUGGUCUAAGUGCAAUGCUCAACAUUGUGAUGCUAUAAAAACUGUUUAGCUAGAGUAAGAUAGAGGCAAGUGGAAUUCCAUGUGUAGUGGUAAAAUGCGUAAAUAUAUGGAGGAACACCAGUAGCGAAGGCGGCUUGCUGGGUCUUUACUGACGCUGAGGCACGAAAGCGUGGGGAGCAAACAGGAUUAGAUACCCUGGUAGUCCACGCCGUAAACGAUGAGUACUAAACGUUGGGUAAAACCAGUGUUGAAGUUAACACAUUAAGUACUCCGCCUGAGUAGUACGUACGCAAGUAUGAAACUUAAAGGAAUUGACGGGACUCCGCACAAGCGGUGGAUCAUGUUGUUUAAUUCGAAGGUACCCGAAAAACCUCACCAGGUCUUGACAUGCCUCUGCAAAGCUGUAGAAACACAGUGGAGGUUAUCAGUUGCACAGGUGGUGCAUGGUUGUCGUCAGCUCGUGUCGUGAGAUGUUGGGUUAAGUCCCGCAACGAGCGCAACCCUUAUUGUUAGUUACCAGCACGUAAUGGUGGGGACUUCAGCAAGACUGCCAGUGAUAAAUUGGAGGAAGGUGGGGACGACGUCAAAUCAUCAUGCCCCUUAUGACCUGGGCUACAAACGUGAUACAAUGGCUGUUACAAAGGGUAGCUGAAGCGCAAGUUUUAGGCGAAUCUCAAAAAAACAGUCUCAGUUCGGAUUGAAGUCUGCAACUCGACUUCAUGAAGUUGGAAUCGCUAGUAAUCGCGAAUCAGCAUGUCGCGGUGAAUACGUUCACGGGGUUUGUACACACCGCCCGUCA
rnacentral:rRNA from 1 species